rnacentral:rRNA from 1 species
CGCGGGAUUAGAGUUUGAUCCUGGCUCAGGACGAACGCUGGCGGCGUGCUUAACACAUGCAAGUCGAGCGGAAAGGCCCUUCGGGGUACUCGAGCGGCGAACGGGUGAGUAACACGUGAGCAACCUGCCCUUAGCUUCGGGAUAGCUCCGGGAAACCGGAAUUAAUACCGAAUAUGACUGCGGCUGACAUCAGCCACAGUGGAAAGUUUUUCGGCUAGGGAUGGACUCGCGGCCUAUCAGCUAGUUGGUGAGGUAACGGCCCACCAAGGCGACGACGGGUAGCCGGCCUGAGAGGGCGACCGGCCACACUGGGACUGAGACACGGCCCAGACUCCUACGGGAGGCAGCAGUGGGGAAUAUUGCGCAAUGGGCGAAAGCCUGACGCAGCGACGCCGCGUGGGGGAUGAAGGCCUUCGGGUUGUAAACCCCUUUCAGCAGGGACGAAGCGAAAGUGACGGUACCUGCAGAAGAAGCGCCGGCUAACUACGUGCCAGCAGCCGCGGUAACACGUAGGGCGCAAGCGUUGUCCGGAAUUAUUGGGCGUAAAGAGCUCGUAGGUGGUUUGUUACGUCCGCUGUGAAAACCUAGGGCUUAACCCUGGGCCUGCAGUGGAUACGGGCAGACUAGAGGUAGGUAGGGGAGAAUGGAAUUCCUGGUGUAGCGGUGAAAUGCGCAGAUAUCAGGAGGAACACCGGUGGCGAAGGCGGUUCUCUGGGCCUUACCUGACACUGAGGAGCGAAAGCGUGGGGAGCGAACAGGAUUAGAUACCCUGGUAGUCCACGCCGUAAACGUUGGGCGUUAGGUGUGGGGUCCUUCCACGGAUUCCGUGCCGCAGCUAACGCAUUAAGCGCCCCGCCUGGGGAGUACGGCCGC